rnacentral:rRNA from 1 species
GAUGAACGCUGGCGGCGUGCUUAACACAUGCAAGUCGAGCGAGAAGUUUUGAAAAGAUUCUUCGGAUGAAAUUUAAAAUGGAAAGCGGCGGACGGGUGAGUAACGCGUAGGCAACCUGCCCCAUACAAAGGGAUAGCAUUUGGAAACGAAUAUUAAUACCUUAUGAAACUUAACUAGUGCAUGCUAGGUAGGUCAAAGAUUUAUCGGUAUGGGAUGGGCCUGCGUCUGAUUAGCUAGUUGGUGAGGUAACGGCUCACCAAGGCGACGAUCAGUAGCCGACCUGAGAGGGUGAACGGCCACAUUGGAACUGAGACACGGUCCAAACUCCUACGGGAGGCAGCAGUGGGGAAUAUUGCACAAUGGGGGAAACCCUGAUGCAGCAACGCCGCGUGAACGAUGAAGGCCUUUGGGUCGUAAAGUUCUGUUCUAGGUGAUGAAAACUGACAGUAACCUAGGAGAAAGCCCCGGCUAACUCCGU